rnacentral:rRNA from 1 species
ACUCCUACGGGAGGCAGCAGUGGGGAAUAUUGCACAAUGGGGGAAACCCUGAUGCAGCCAUGCCGCGUGUGUGAAGAAGGCCUUCGGGUUGUAAAGCACUUUCAGUAGGGAGGAAGGUAGUGUAGUUAACACCUGCAUUAUUUGACGUUACCUACAGAAGAAGCACCGGCUAACUCCGUGCCAGCAGCCGCGGUAAUACGGAGGGUGCGAGCGUUAAUCGGAAUUACUGGGCGUAAAGCGCAUGCAGGCGGCCUGUUAAGUCAGAUGUGAAAGCCCGGGGCUUAACCUCGGAAUUGCAUUUGAAACUGGCAGGCUAGAGUCUUGUAGAGGGGGGUAGAAUUUCAGGUGUAGCGGUGAAAUGCGUAGAGAUCUGAAGGAAUACCAGUGGCGAAGGCGGCCCCCUGGACAAGACUGACGCUCAGAUGCGAAAGCGUGGGGAGC